CUGGUCCCUUCCAGUUCCUACUGUUCCUACUGUUGUGGACAGCGGAAAUGAUGCUAAUGAUGACCUCAGCAGCAGCAACGAUGCUAUGAUUGGGGCAGAAGCUCAGUGGUGUGCAGAGAGAGGCAGCCGUGAAGCCGUCCUUUAUCCCACAGCUACAGCUAUCCCUCGGCCAAUCAACAGCAGGCUCUGGGGCAUUCUUUGAUGCUUCACCUUGGACCAGGCACUAAGAAAUUUUGCUGUUAGAGGUUGCUGCAACCCGACUGCUAGCAUCCUAUAUGUGGACUUCAGUUUUGCAGUUUUCAUGUUCUGGAAGCCAGAAGUCCAAAAUCAAGGGUGCAGCAGAGCAAAGCUUCCUCUGAAGGCUCUAGGGCAGGAUCUUUGAAAUCUCAUGGCAUUCCAGUGCUGCUUGACACAAGGGGAAGUGUGAAAGAAGAGAUGCCAGAGUGGAAAGAGACAGAGGCCUUAAAUGAAAGUGGUUAAAAUAUCUUAUCUUCGCAAAUUUUACAAAAACCUAUGACCUUGUGAACUCUUUCCUAGGCCCUUCCCAGAGCUUUGGAAGGACUCUGUGCCUAUGAGAGACCCUUAAGCUCAAUUGGGCUUCAUUAGCAUCACAAUAAAGCUUCCUCUGUUCUGGCCUGAGGCCGAGGGGAAGAAUGUCUCCCUUGCUCUUCUGGACAAGGUCUAUCUGUAGGUGAUACUCAGAAUUGUGAAGGCAUCUUGCUCCCAGUCA
rnacentral:lncRNA from 1 species